AAAGUCGUAACAAGGUAACCGUAGGUGAACCUGCGGUUGGAUCAUUACCGAAUUUUUGUUUGGGAGCCGAUUGGCUGUGCAAUUUUGUGACAGCGCAAAUCGGUCCACCCAUCCAACCCUUUAUGUGAACCUUAUAAAACGUAUUUUGGCGGCCCUCCAAACCCUCUCGCGGCAUUUAGCGGGAGAUGGGCCGUCAGCCAACUUUACCAACGCUUUUUCUACUCCAUUUCUUACACUCAAUUACUAAAACUAAUUGACAAACAACUUUUGACAACGGAUCUCUUGGCUCUC
rnacentral:misc_RNA from 1 species